rnacentral:rRNA from 1 species
AACGAACGCUGGCGGCAGGCUUAACACAUGCAAGUCGAACGCCCCGCAAGGGGAGUGGCAGACGGGUGAGUAACGCGUGGGAAUCUACCCAUCCCUACGGGACAACUCCGGGAAACGGGAGCUAAUACCGUAUACGCCCUUAGGGGGAAAGAUUUAUCGGGGAUGGAUGAGCCCGCGUUGGAUUAGCUAGUUGGUGGGGUAAGGGCCUACCAAGGCGACGAUCCAUAGCUGGUCUGAGAGGAUGAUCAGCCACAUUGGGACUGAGACACGGCCCAAACUCCUACGGGAGGCAGCAGUGGGGAAUAUUGGACAAUGGGCGCAAGCCUGAUCCAGCCAUGCCGCGUGAGUGAUGAAGGCCUUAGGGUUGUAAAGCUCUUUCACCGAUGAAGAUAAUGACGGUAGUCGGAGAAGAAGCCCCGGCUAACUUCGUGCCAGCCGCCGCAGUAAUAC